CCUCCCUGAUCAUGAAGAAUGGAGACCCAAACCCGCUGAGGUGCCUGAAGGAGCAGGGUCAGCCUCUGCCUCCCACGGCCUCUGAUGGUGCAUCGGAGGCUGAAUCCCUCUCCUGAUCUCCUGCAGGUGCAGAUUCCAGGUUUCCAGUGGGUGUCGGAGUGGGCUCCAGUGCUCUCCUGGCCCUAGGAAACCCUGGGCUACAUGAAGCCUUGGCCUAGCCAGAUUGUUUCCCACACUGUCACUCCCCACUGUCACCUCCCCAAACAUGGGGCUGCAUGCUGUGUGCCCUGGGUGGGACAUUGGAAGGAGUUCCACCUUCCAGGUUUGGAUCACAGUAAAGCCUCUGCCAUGGGGAUGUGCUGGCCGAGACAGACGGGGUUGAACCAGCCCUGUCACGUUGGCCUUGGGCAAGUCACCUGUGCCUUGCUUCCCUUUCCCCAGCAGCCAGGAGGGGAUAAUAGCACCUAUUUCACCCAUAGCCAGCGCUCACUUGUUAACGGUAACUGAGUCCCAGAGAAGGUGCAGGCAGAGCCAUCGAGGCAGCACUGCAGCUGGACCUGGUCUGAGUCCCAGCUCCUGGCUGUGAGAUGUGUCUCUCCCUCUGUUUAUUCAUCUGAAGGACAGGGCUGUGCUGUUCUGGGGUCACUGUGACAAUGCAGCUGGGCUGUGUGAGUUGGUGGUGGCCUCCUGAGAUGGUUUGAGGUGGGCUGGAGGUGUGUCUUGAAUGCCCCCUCACCCCCACGGGGAAGACCCACUUAGGGAAGACUCAUGUGUCUGUAUGGAAGAACCCACGUUCCCCACCUCUCAGCUGUCCUCUGUCCCUUCCCAGCCCCCUCUGCUGUUCUGUAGGCUCUGGCAGUUGUCAUCCCGCUUGGUGGCCAUCUGGCUGGUCCACUCUUCCAGGUGGACCCUCUCUCCUCACAUGGUGCAGGUACCAUUGUGCCACCUCCAGACAAGCCACACUAGCCCCAGGGCCUCCUUUCUCUGGUACCCAGCCCCUGCCACUAGGUAUGUGCCCCCUCCCUAAAGCCCGCUGUGUUCACCAGCUGUGUUUGAACUCUGUCUCUGUGCAAGGCCUCAUGCAAAGCCUGAAACAGCCUGGCUUGUAGAGGACCAGGAGACCAAAGCUUGAAGACAGAGUGACGGUCUCCCAGAGCCCACUUAGCCUGAGCCCCAGGGCUGCGUCCAUGCUGGUCCUGGCUCCAGUGGGCCAAUUCUCUCCCGUGAUAUCUGUAAGGGCUCCUGUGGUGAUGGAGGUGGCUGGAGAGAACAGGCUGCCAUAACCCUCCCUCCCUGAGAAGGCCCAGUGGGGAACGUUUUAGGCAUCAGGGCAUCCUGGGGAGCAUCUUCCAGGGACCCCUCCUACACCCUGCCCCGCCCUGGCUCUCUAGUCAGAAACUGCAUUUCCUUGGACAGCGGGGCUGACCCAGGACAAAUGCAUCUAUUAGGCUGGUUUUCAGGGUGCUGGGGUGGGGGCAGGGGCGCUUCAUGGAUAGGAAGGAGAGGCCUGUGUGUUCCAGAAGUACAGAGGAACCUGGUGCCAGCCACAGUCAACCCCGAUGUGAUGACCUUUCUACCCACCCUCUUUGAUGUCUUGGUGCUGGCUGCUGUCCUUGGCCAGGAUGUGCAGACCCUGGCGCACACAGUCCCACAUGAGAGCCUGGGCUGGCACUGUCCUGAAGAAGGUGGCACCCACUCUCGUGGUCAGUGGAUCCAGCCUGGUGGGAGGAUCAUCCCACUUCAGGGGGCCAGGCAGCCUGAGUGGCCUAAGGGAGGUCGUCUCUUCCAGCCUCCUGCCCUCAACCCCAGAACCCAGGUCUGAGCCCUGGGCCACCUAGGGCCACCCUGGACCCACCAGAAUUCCUCCACCACCACUUGGUCAAAGUUUUGUAGAGGUCUGAGAACAAGAGUCAGCUGGGGGAUCAGGAGAGGAUGAAGAGGGUCACAGCUCUACCAAAGUCUUGUCCAGUCCUCCCCCAUCUUCCCGAGGCCUCUUCCCCGACCCCCCUACUUCAUCCCGCCACUUCACCCGUCUCGUCAGCUGCCCCUGAAGUGCCCAGAAGUCAGGGCUGGUUUUGUCCUCCAAGGCCUUGGUGUAGGGCUGGCCCAGGAUCUGCAGCCAAACUUCAUACAGCACCAGCUCCGCCUUCUCCCCUAGAGAGAUGGGGGUGGAGGUGGCAUCAGCCUGCACUCCCUCUCCUGGAAGCCCUGGGGUGGGACGCGCACCCAAGCUCUAAUGCUCCAUCCAGGGGUCAGCUGCUGCUGGUCUAAAAACAAGAUUUCUUGCUGCCUGUUUUUGUGUGACUCAUGAGCUAAGAAUGGCUUUUACAUGUUUAAAUGGUUGAAAACAUGGAAAGUAGAAUCGUAUCUUGUGACACAUGAAAAGUACAUGACAUGCAAACUUCCACGUCCAUAAAGAAAGGUUUCUGGGAAUGUGGCCAUGCUCAUUUGUUGACAUGUUGUCUAGGGCUGCUUUCUUGCUGCAGGGGAGGGUUUGAGUAUGUGAUGACGGAGACUCAGUGGCCUGCAGAGCCUUAAAGAGUUUCCAUCUGGCCCUUUACAGAAAACGCUUGCUACCCCCUGCACUGAUCCAUCUAAUGGAAUACGCUGCUCACUCCGAGAGUUGAUCCUAGUAGGAAAUGUUGCUGACCAUUUAACAGAUGCUGCUUUUAUGUUUUAUUUUGUCGCUGCUCUGGUGGGAGACAUGUAAGAAAAUUAACUCCCUGGGAGGAGGUCAUGGUGGGGCUUGUGGCCAUCAAUGGUGAAGCCUCUUUAAGAGGAUGUGUGGGGAGCUCUACCGUCUGCUGAGGGAGUUGUGAUGGGCCCUCUGUGUUGAGGAAUGAAGAGGGAACAUAGCCUGUCUGGUGGGAACUGACUUUCUGGGGAGCAGAAGAGAUGGUAGUUUGGGCCUGUGGAGGCAGAGGCCCAAACCAAUCUGGUCUCUGGGGCAGCCGGCAGGGAGAGUAACUGUGUAGGAGUGGGUGUGAGGGCAGAGCCCGAAGGAGGGCACCCCUGACCACACUCCCAGGAGGCUGCGGUGGUGGGGGUGGGGCAGCACUGUAGGAGGACCAGUGCCUUCUGUGGCUUUGGGGUCCUUGGAGAGCAGCUGUGGGCUGUGCAUACCUGGAGGGGACUGAUUUGACCCAGCACUCUCCUAACUUGGGUGUGGACCAGCUCUCCCUGUUAGGAUGGCAUGAGCUUGCAGAAGUCAUCCUAUCAGGAGGCCUCAAGAGGAGAUAUGGGUUUCUUACAGCCCCUGCACUGGGGCAGAGCUGAGGGUUUUUGCCUCUGACUUGGUGGGACAGAUCUUGUCAUGCAUGUGAGAACUCAGUGAGGUCCUGGGCAAUCAGGGACGUGACGGGACCCUCUCAUCCCUCUGAUCUUGACUGCUUCUCGCCUAUGUCCAGCUCCUUGCUGAAACUCUAUGCCCCAUUCCUCUCUGUGGCCCCAACACAUGAGCGAGUAUUGUCUGAAGAAAAUUCUGCCCAUUCUCUAGAAGGAGAACACCGAGGUUUAGAGAGGGGAAGAGCCUGAUGGCCCAGAGACACACAGGGAUCACAGCUGUACUAAAAACACAAAAAUUAGCUGGUGCACA